CCGGGAAACCGGGGCUAAUACCGGAUGGUUGUUUGAACCGCAUGGUUCAAACAUAAAAGGUGGCUUCGGCUACCACUUACAGAUGGACCCGCGGCGCAUUAGCUAGUUGGUGAGGUAACGGCUCACCAAGGCAACGAUGCGUAGCCGACCUGAGAGGGUGAUCGGCCACACUGGGACUGAGACACGGCCCAGACUCCUACGGGAGGCAGCAGUAGGGAAUCUUCCGCAAUGGACGAAAGUCUGACGGAGCAACGCCGCGUGAGUGAUGAAGGUUUUCGGAUCGUAAAGCUCUGUUGUUAGGGAAGAACAAGUACCGUUCGAAUAGGGCGGUACCUUGACGGUACCUAACCAGAAAGCCACGGCUAA
rnacentral:rRNA from 1 species